AGGGGUGGGAGGCAUUGCUGAGGGGGGUACACAGUUCUGGGUCUCUGAGUAGGGGGUGUAAGGUCCCAUUAUGAUAGGGCUGUGCUGGGUACAGGGGGUGCUGGAAGGCACUACGUGUCUCUUGUGGUUUUGAGGAGAAUUAGCUGUCUGCCGGUUGAGCUGUGGGGGAGGCUGCCAGCUGGUGGAGCUGCAGGAGGAAGCUGCUGGCUUCCUGAUUCUCACUGACCUCUCAAACUUGAAUAACAAACUUGCGGGGGUGGGGAAGUGGGGGAGGGUGUUUCUGACUCCUAGGUGGGUGGGGUCUAGUUCAGAGACCCAAUCUCCCUCUCUGCUGUGCUAUAGAGAGAGCUAGGGAUGUAGUUUCUCAAGGCUUCUUCAGUGUGACUGAAGGCUGUGUGGGCAACACACAGAGGAAAAUGGCUGGGCGCUCUGCUGCACUGGAGGCUGCUGGCUGCUGUGGUGGGCAGCAUCUUGGCCUGGAUCAGCAUGGAUUUCCUGUGGGACAGCGGUGGAGUGGGUCAUCGGGAGGAGUUGCGUGUCUGUCAUGGGUCAGCCUUGUCCUUGGAUGAAGUCUGUUAUAAAUCUCUUUGGCAAGGCCCAGCAAACAACAGUGUGGAGACUGAGACUAGAGGCCCAGGAAGGGUGCGCAACCAGGACUUACCUCCAUUUGGAAGAUGUCUCCUUCCCAUCCCGAGAAAGGGUGAGAGCUCCAAUCAAGGCUGAAUUCAUCCUGUUCAACCUUUCCUUCCUUAAUUUUGGGCAUCAGCUGCCAUGAACUGCGGCCCCGCCAUGCCACCCUGCCUUGGAGCCAACUGAAUAUGGACUAAAACCUCCAAAAAACUUACCGGCUAUCAGUUUGGGGUCUUGAAGAGCUGAUUGAGUCUACAGCCAACCUCUCUCCUUGUCAGGCCACCUCAGACCUGCCCUGUGUCCCUUGCACCAGGCACCACACAGCUCGGACAGACCUGAGCUCAGAACCCAGGACCUGGUUCUGAGGAUCCAUCCAUGGUGGGAGACAGAGCAGAGCCCCCUCCUCCAGCACAGGCUGCCCCUGAGCUCAGCCGCUGUCCCUGCCCUGGAGGCUCUCUGUGGACCCUGCUGCAGCUGCCCCUCUGUAAGCAGGAGAAUGACCAUGACAGACCGACCUGGACACCAGCUGUGAUAGAGCGAGGACAGGGUUCGACCUCCCCCUGAACCUUCUGGGAUGCAGCCCUGGGCCCUGUACUUCAAGUCCCUCCUUCUCUGGCUGCUGCCCUGGCCAGGCACAGGGCAGUUCCAAGUGAAAACACCAAAGUCACCGGUCAUUGCCCAGGUGGGGAAAGCAGCUGUGCUUCCCUGUCACCUCAGCCCAUCCACAGAUGCUCAGAACAUGGAGAUCAGGUGGUACCGGGACCACCAAUCAGUACUGGUUUACGAGUACAGGAAUUCUCAGGACCACAUGGAUCAGCAGAGUCUCGAGUACCAAGGGAGGACAGAGCUCCUGAGGGAAAACAUCACGCAAGGCCAGGUGGCCCUGAGGAUCCAUCCCAUCUUUGCUAGAGAUGAAGGACAGUACAGCUGUGUCUUUGUAAGAUCCACACAAGUUGGUCAAGCACAGUUAGAGCUGCUUGUUGCAGCCUCAGGUGCACCUCCUCAUAUCCACAUUCAGCCUGCAGACACUGAGGGCAUCACACUGACCUGCUCAUCCUCAGGCUGGUACCCAGACCCUGAGCUCCAGUGGAGGGACUCACAGGGACAGCCUUUGUCACCUGACUCUGAGACUAGGUCUGAACAAGAAGAUGGCCUAAUCUAUGUGGAAAGCUCAGUCACAAUGACAAACAGCUCAAGAGUACCUUUGUCCUGUUGGAUCGGGAACCCUGUGCUCAGGGAGGAGAAGGAGGCGCGUCUCUCAGUGGCAGAGGCCUUGUUCCCCCGGGUCAGCACCAAGGGAAUGGAGUGGCCUGUGAUGCUGGUGCCCUUAUGUUUGAUAAUCAUAAUCGCUGCUGUUCUCCUCCUGAUAUCUAGAAGAUGCCGAGAACGAGUAAAUCUUUUCGGAAGGCAUGGUCAGAAGGAAGCUAAACGAUUUGCAGGGAGACUCACUAAAGAACCUGAAAACGUAAUUGUGGAUGAAGACACUGCUCACCCUCAGCUCGCCAUGUCAGAGGCAGGAGGUGUCUGUCUACUCCAAGGUCAAAAGACAUCUGAUCCUCUGUGCCUGCUCCCUCAAGAUCCCAGCCCUGUUUGACUGCCUAUAAUAUUUCUAACUCAGCUGCCUAUACCAUGAUAAUGACUUUCAGAAAGUGUGACUGCACACUUUCUGUAUAGGGUGAUUCCGCUCCUGAGAGGUCCCAAAUCCUUUGAGUUCUACAAUGUUUAUUUGAAAUCAGGCAAAAUAAGAGUGAAUCAAGCCUGGAAUUCCACUGAUACAAAACAUUGGUACUGCUCCAGGACUGUGCAAACCUGAUGAUAAUAUGAUAUUUUUCUAUGUAUUUGAUAUAGCUUUGCCCUGGGUUUACUAUGAGAAUAUGACUUUCCAGGCAGGCUUUCUUUGAAUAUAUUUUAUUAAUAGCUGACUUUAUGGUGAAGAAUUUGUCAUAGUUUAUCUUUACUAUCGUAAGGAAGUGACUCAUGAUUGGAUUUUGAACAUCUGUUUUUCCUGUUCUGGAAGCUGAAUCUUAGUUUAUGGCAGAGGGCACAAAUUGGAAACCCUAUGGAAAACCAUGCAAAUUAAGUCUUCCCAAAAGUAUUUUAGUAUGAUUUUUAUUUAUAGGGUGGCUGUUUGCAUUCAUUAUAACAUUUGUUAUAACUGUUUAUCUUCAUUAUAACUUUCAUCUUGCUAAGUUUUCAGUAAUAUUCAUUAGGUUCUCUCAGGAUUCAUAGAGAAACAUGCACAUUUCAUUCUUCGGAAUUCCAGACCCAUUUCCUGUUUUCUCUGCCUUUUACCAAAGGUUUUCCCUUUGACUAAAUACCUAAAAUAAUAGUCAUGGAGUAAAUUCUUGAUGUGAUUAAACCAUGGUUUUAAAGAUAUGCCCACAGCCAGUGCAGCCUACCACAAAGUGUCUGAAGUCUGCAUGAGGUCAUGUGUAUGCGUUUACAUGAGUCACCUGUUUUCACUAACAGUGAAAAUCAUGAACUUGCAGAUGUUCUAAAUUUUACUACAAUGGUUUUAAUUAAAUAAUAGAUGUCAAGGGCCUGACUUGUUCUUUCCUUGGGAAAUCAUGCCACGAAAUGAAAAGAGGAAAUUCGAUUUUAAACCACAGUCAUUGUUUGAGUGACAUUUAUCUGGAAAAUGGGACACUGAUGAAUGUGACCAGGCCAGAAAUGGAAUGAUUUCCAUUUGUGUCUCAUUCAUGUCUGAUUUGUUUCAGUCUCCACUGACAAUCAAAUGCCUCUGAAUCUUUAGAGAGCAUUCAAGUGUUCAAUAUAGGACACAGGUAGAAACUGCCAAAUUUUUGACUGGUGCAGGAGCAUAAAGUGUUUAACUACUGUUAUACAAAUGUGCUUUGGUCAUAAAAUUGAUACUAUAGUUAUUCCUUUUAAUGAAUAUGUUUUCUCUAAUGUUAACCUAUGUUGGUAUUUUAGUGUUUUCCGAAUAAUUGACAGUGGACCUCACAUUGGCCUAAAGUAAGGAUAUAAAACAUAAAACAGGAUCUGUAGGUAAAAAGAAGGAAACUAUCUCUGGAAUGGGAACCCAUGGUGGGUCGCUAUGGUUCUGAAACUGUCUCAGGACCUCCUCCCCAGUGGCACAGGAGUUAGGCCAUGCACACAGAGACUCCAUGGAGACCCCAUGACACGUAGGGGGUUAAAAAUCAGUUAGUGCCUGCUACUUGUCACAUAGUUGAACUGCAAAAUUCAGUUAGGCUUAAUUACAUCAAACUUCUUCUUCCUGAUAAUAUGCUAGAUCAACUUGACUGCAUGCGGCUAUAAGGCAUGUGUUCUUUUCUACUUAGAAAAACAUACACAGUUUCCAACUUACUCUGAGGAAUUCAUGUUUGGACAGAUUGGCCCAGUAAAGGACCAAUUUAACUCUGUUUGCUUUGCUCAAACUCAUUCCCCUCCUUCUGGGAAUCUACUUAGAACUAGCUUGCUGGGCAACCCAUGACUUAAUCCAUGUACCCAAUCAUGCCAUCUGCCAUCUGCCUUGCACUUUCUCAUUGCAAACUAUUUAAACUGAACCCUAAACUGAAUCAUGGCUGGUGAUUUGGAAUGGAUUCCAACUGACUUGCUGGUGUAAUAAAAGUUGCCUUCUGAUUCCUCAGUGUAGAGUCUUCAUUCAGUUUAAUACUGGUUUUUCUGUAACAAACUGAUAUAUGUAGAGUAAUUGGGAGACAUCUUACAUGUGUUAAAAAUGUGUUUUCUCUGUUGUCUGCAAUUUGUUUUUGCUUCUUUGCCUUUGAGAUACACUCCUUAAAAGUAAUUAUAAAUUCUAGGUUCAGUAUUUGCUUUGCUCAAACUCACUCCCCUCCUUCCUGGAAUAUUUUGUUUAGUAUUCCUGCUGCCACUAGUAACAUAAAUCGUAAGAAGUACACUUGAGUAUGGUUUUGGGGCAUUGCCUAGGUAACUUCUGCAGAUGACUGACUGAACCUAGGUCAAAAAAUCUCCUUAUUCCAGAAUUAGAAACCCCUGUGUCAAAGUCAGCACAGUUCAGACAACUGACUGUGUACCCUCUCCGGAAUCAAUGUAAUAAUAUUAUGUUGUUUUUAGUUUAAUUUGUUUAUUUGUCGGUUUGCUUAUUUUGAGAUAGGGCUUCACUACGUAGCUCAGGCUGGCCUUGAACUCACAGAGAUCCUCUUGUCUUAGUCUCUGGAGUGGUAGGCUACAGCAUGCACCACCACACCCAUCUUCAUUAUAUUACUCUUUAAAUUUCCUGUUGUGUCCUCAAGCCUUCCAGGGUCACUGUUCUCUAAGGACUCAUUUUAUUCAGUUACAUAAAUUGUCCUCUAAGUGCCUGUGAAAUGGCACAGAUGUCUGCCAUUCUGCACACAGCAACAAGCAGGAUUCUAGGACCCUACAGGAGGUGAGGCCUGCUUUCCCAACUAGGGCACAGUGCUGCUAUGGUGACACUGUGCUCUCCAUGUCUUGUUUCCAUGUUGCUGUUUCUCCUUGACAGAUUCCCAGUGUGGCCAGUUCAUGGCACCAGCAGAAACUGACAGCCCAUUUUGUGGCUGGUGACGGGCAUGGACAAGAUUAAAUUUUCCAAGAGAAGCCUGAGCAUCUGAGAAGAAGAAGCAAAACAUUUUGAAAUGUCAAUAAAAGAAAGCGCCCUCUAAGUGAACGCCAGUGAACAAGUGCAGAUAAGAGAACGGUGAGUACUGCAGUUUUCAGCAGUGGAGGGUGAGCUCCUCUGCACACAGAGCUGGGUGCAGCCUCUCCCUUGGAGCUGACGCCCAGGUGUCACUGCUGCAUCCUCAUUCCGAGAUGUCACUGUGUCUGUGUGCUGGCUCCAGAUGGGAGCUCACCUGUCCUUCUGUGUCCACCUGCUGUGGUGUGUGUGCUGACGGUGUGUGUCUGCACUGCAUACUAACUGCCUUCUCCUUGGGGAGCUGACACGUUACACACCGUGUCUCCCUCCUCUCACCCAUUUCUCUGUUAUCUCUGAGAGUCUUUGACAAACCUGCCUGUCAGGUAUCUAUCAUGUUUCUUCUGUUUUCCUCUUUGAAUUAUUUGUAUUUUGGGCUUCUCAAACAAAGGAAAGCAUACAUUAUUUAAAUAAUUUAAAGUUUAUUUUAGUUAACAUCAUGGCCUUGAGAUUCAUUCAUUUUCCUACCAAUGACUCAAAUUCUCCAUGUCUGAAUAGCUCUCCAUUCUGAAUAUGUACCUUAUUUUCUCCUGUUGAUGAGAAUAUAGGCUGCUACUAUGUUUUAGCUGGUGUGAAUUAUUGUUAUGAGUCUGUAUAUUCUAAUAAUGUGAUGUUUUGAGUUUUUCAGAAACAACCUUAAGAAUAUAGUUUACCAAAUGGAAUUUCUGUUUAUUAAUACUCAAGAAAACUCUACGGCUGAUUUCCACAAUGAUAAUAGUGGCUUACACUAUUAUCAACUGUACAAGAGAGUUGCUUGUUCUCUGAAACCUUGUGCUCUGAAACCAGAGUAAGAAGGGAAUCCUAUUGAAUGUAUUUCUAGUAGCUAAAAAUGCUGAAUAGUUUUUUAAGUACUUACUAGAUAUUUGUACCUGAGAAAUAUCUAGUUACUUCUGUGGUCAGUGUUUAAUUUUUAAAUUUUUAAUAGUACGUGUUUGUAAUGCACGAUGAUCACAUUUACUGUGGGGAGUUUGCACCUGUGCAUGGCACAUCCUAAUUCACUGUGCCCCCUCCCCUCCAGCCUGCGCCCUACUCCUCCCAGUUCCUGUUCCUCUGCCUCCCUCUCCCUCCAUGUCUUGUCCAUUUUGGAUUAGACCUUAAUGUUGAAGUAUCCUUCUAAGUUAUAUGUGUUUUAUAUAUAUAUAUAUUAUACAUAAUAUAUAUAUUUCUAGAUAUUAGUCCUUUGCCUGAGGAUUAGCUGACAUCUGAACAUUGUCUGUUCACUCAAUUGACUGUUCCUUUGCUGUGCAGAAAAUUUUAACUUGAUAUAAUACCGUUUGCUGAUUAUUGAUAUUUUUGUUCCUGUGGAGUCCUGUGCCUGUGUCUUCAGAUAUGUGGCCUGCUUCCUGCGGAUUUAGGAUUUCUACUGUCAUACACAGUGUCUGCUGUGUCUGCGAGGUGUGGGUGCGGGCUCACUCCUCCGCCUGUGGGUAACCAGUUCGCUCAGCACCCUUUGUCAAAGAGACCAUCACUUACUUCGCAUGUGAUUGUAGAUCCUUAUUUAAACUUCACAUCAGCGAAGGUGUGGGGGUUGUGUCUGCAUCUCAUUUCUAGUCUUCUCCUCAGGAUAUCCAUUUUUGUGCCAGUACCAUGGUGUGUUCAGAUCCACAGAUUUGUAAUAUAUCUUGAAAUAAGACAUUUGCAGUACCUCCUGCUUUGCCCUUGUUGCUCAGGAUGGCUGCUAUAUUUGGCAGUCACCUAGAUGACUCCCAAAAGCCCCUUGCUCUCAUACGUGGGUCUUCUGUGAGGUGACUGCAUCAUGGGGUCCUGAUCCUCAACAGUGAACCAGUGCAAGGACGAGUUUAUAGCUGAAUGUGGGGGUGGAAGGUGAAGGCAAGCAGAGGAGGUGGUCACUGGGGGCGUGGCCUGGAAGCCCCUACAUCCCUUCCUCCUCUCUUGAUCUCUUUACUUUCUGUCUGCUGCCACUCUCCUCUCCUGCAAGGUUCCUUUGCUACACUACCCUGCCUUGGAGCCGAUCAGUGAUGGACUGAUAUCUUUACAGACUGUGAGGUCUGAGGACUUUGAAAACAAACUUCUCAUCAUUGUUGUUGGGCUCAGGUACUGGGUCUUAGUAAAGAGAAGGUAAGACAAGGACUUCUCUUAUUCUGGGUACUUUCCGGUUCCAGAUAAAUUUUAGACUUGCUUUUUCUACUUCUGUAGAGCAAUGUUUUCAUUUUGAUGGGUAUUUUAUUAAAUCUGUAUACUAUUUUUGGUAAUGUGACUAUUUGGCAAUAUUAGCCCUGCAUUUCCAGGAACAGAAGAUGACUUAUGAUUUGCUGAUGUCCUUUUCAAUUUCUUUCUUUUUUUUUUUUUUUUUCAUUGAGCUGUAGUUUAUUUUCACUCCCUCAGUUCUAGAUAUUUUUGAUUCUACCACAAAUAACUUUUUUUCAGAUUUUUUUUCUUAGUAGAUUCAUUAUGAACGUGAAUGAAUACUGUUCAUUUCUGUGAGGUGAUUUUGUAUCCUGCCAAUUUGCAGACUUUGUUAGUAAUAAGAGUAUUUUUGUGGCGUUUAUGAGUUUUUUUUUACGGAAAAGGCCAUAUCUUGUGUGAGUAAGGAUACUUUCAUUUCUUUCUUUGCUUUUCUCUAUCAUUUAAUUUCUUUCUGUUGCCUCAUUGAUUGGACUAAAAUGUUAUUGGCAUUUAAUUCUUCUCCAAUGUUCCAGAAACUUUCACUGCAAAGUUCAGAAGCUCUUGGCCUUUUCCUCACUGUGGAGUUUUUACUGCCUCAAUUGCAUUACCUAUUACCAGUUUUUCUAGCUUUUCAUAUCUUCUUGGUUUGGUUUUCAUAAUUCUCCAUUUUCUAGGAUUUUAUCCAUUUUCCAUAGAUUCACUAGUUUACUGGAAUAUUUGUUUUUUUGAAAUAGUGUCUAAUAGUCUUGGUUUUAGGUGUAUUUUUUUAAAUUAUUAUUUUAACUUAGAAUUGCAUUUUCAUGUUUUUUUCCCCUAAGUUGACUAAGGGUUAAUUGUUGCUUAUUUUUAACAAAGAAAAUCUAUUUAUCAAUCUUUUGUAUCUUUAUAGCUUCAAUUGAUUUCCACUCUGGUAUUUAUAAUGUCUUUUCUGCUACAGGUUAUAGAUUUUUGGAUUGUUCUUGCAUUUCUGGGAUGUUUAGAUGCCUUAUUUAUUUAAGGUCACUCUAUUUUUCUUAUGCAGAUAUUUCCCAAAUAAAUAUCCAUUCAUAGAAGUGCAUUCCUUGUGUCCAGUGGGACUUGAUAUAUUCUACUAUUGUCAUGUGACUGCUGGAACUUUUAAUUUCUUCUGUGCUGCAGUGAUUAUUCAGUGAGGUAUAAUUUAGUUUACAUGUUUGUGAAGUUCUUUCAGGCAGUUUCAUGGCUGCUGAUUUUCUAGUUUUAUUCCACUAUGAUCCAGUGAUUUCAAGAAAUUACUGCAUUUUUUAUUCACUAAAACAUAUUUUAUGACAUAAUAUAUGGUCUAUUUUGGGUAUAGCCCCAUUGGCUACUGAGAAAAAAAUGUUUAUUUGCCUAUAUGAGCUAAAACAUUUUGAAUAUAUCUAUUAAUUCCAUUGGUUCCAAGGUUUGGUUCAACUUAUAUUUUUGUUGACUUUUGGCUGUGCUGAUUAGUCUAUUUGUAAAAAUAUAAUGCUGAAGUCCUUUGCUGUGAUUGUGUUGGCAUCUACCUGUUAUAGUCAGUGGUUUUUGCUUUCACACUGAGUAUGUCAAAUUUUGUGAAUAUUUUUAAAUUGCUCUAUCUUUCUAUUUAAUAGUUUCUUUCAUCAGUAUACAGUAAGUCUCUUUGUUCUGGUUAGAUUUGGCUUGAAGUCCCCUUUGUCUGAAAUUGACAUAGUUACUGCUGAUUACUUUCAAGUUCAAAAUGUAACAGUAACACUUUCCAUCACUAUCCUUUCAGUCCUUGUGUUUCUUUAUGGAUCAGGUGCAUAUCUUGGAGACAAUGGAAGAUUAUAUUUUUCUUUUGAUUGAAUCUUGCAGUCUCUAUCUGUUCAUUGGAAAGUUCAGACCAUUUACAUUGAAUGUUACAAUUGUAAGGUAUUUGUUACAACUUUUAAGAGAAUUAAUGUUUCUUUGUGGAUCUCUGUGGAUUUUCUUUUGUUUAGGUGCUUUUCUAGUUAGCUGUUUUCUUUCAUUUAAGUUACUGAGUAAUAAUUGCCUCUUUCUAUUUGUUUAAGAAUAAUUUUAAGUAUUGUUGCAAUGCUGUAUCAGUUAAAAUGGAUAUAUUUUCUUCCUUUUUGUUGAAAUAAAACUUUAUUUCUCUGUCAA